CUGCUGUGGCUCCCAGAUCCACUGCCUGCUGUUCCCUGUCCUGUUUUGUGCAUUUCCCAGGCUCUCUUACCUUCUGGCUUCUGGAUCCCUGAUCCCUGAGUAUUUAUGCCAGCUAAGGGGAAGGACAAGGAUGCAGGGGUCUAGGUUGCCCUUGGAGUCUGCCCUUCCCUCCCCCUUCAGUUUGCCCACACUAGUGAGGGCAGGGCACUGCCUUGUCCCACUCCGUAUCUCUUCUUCACCCAGCCCUAUUGCCCCCAUCAAGAGACACCCCUCAGUGGGCCUAUCCUAAAAAAACGGGCCCCAGAGAGGGGCAAAGGGCGUGGGGUGAAGGACACAGGCAAGGGGCAAGGAUUAAAGGCAGCAAAGUACUUGGGAAACUAGAGAAUUUCUCUAGCUUUUGCCUUUAGCCAAUGGCACCAUCCUGGUGCCGCCACCUGAAACCCAUGGGGGUCUCCACCACUUUGGCCUGCAUGUUUUCCACAAGCUGAGCCACCUCUUCCCUAGGGGGCAAGGGGAAUAAGAGGAAGGUUUGUUCAAGAGCUGCCCCUGGCCAGGAAGUGGAAAGACCCCUCCAGCUGGGCCAGGUGAGGUAGAGCAGAGGGAGAGAACGCAGGAGCAGAGGCAGCACGUGCCACAGCCCGUUAAGGUGACCCUGACUGUUUCUCUCUCUCUUGCAGGUCCCCAGACACAGCUCUCCAGAGGUCUAGUGCAGAGGACAGAGCCGAUGCACAGACAAAAAGAAACCCUCAGGACAAGGCUGGGACAGGGCCCCAGGAUGGGAAGGCAGGGCGGGAGGCAGGUUGUGGAGGGGCUGUGGGUCCCACCUUCAAGUUGCACUAAAGCACCUUGAGGAGGCCUUGUGCUGAGCUGGCUUGUUUCUGCCUCCCAGCUGGACCACAAAAUGGGAGGAAACAUCCCAUAAAGUUGCCGAACUGCCUCUGUGGCCGGAAGUGCUGCCAGGGGCUGCUGGUUCCCUCUCUAAUUGCUCUUAAUUUCUAUGAUUUGCAGGUCUCAGGCUCAUGGAGGGCCCAUUCCCCAUUGUGAUGGACGGGCAGGCACAGUCAGCCUGUUGAGUCAGCCGCUGCAGGCUCUGACUUGGCCCGGCUGGGUCCUGCAAGGUAUAGGGCACCCACCUCUCUCCUCCUCUUCCUGGGCCCAAUCCAGAACCCUGGGCCACAAGCCCCCACUGAAGCUCCGUCCUUUCUCCUGUUUCACCUUUGCAGGAGGGUCCCGCAGCCC
rnacentral:lncRNA from 1 species